GAGAAGAAUAAAGAGCUCUGAUGAACAACUGAUGUGUCGUGUCUCUCUCUGCGGGCAGAAGGAACGCGACAAUAAAGGAAGAGGAUUUUCUUUUCAUCAGUCCACAGGAACACAUCAUGAUAUUUUAAGCCUGAAGCUGAAAUUUAGUCUCAAACUUCACCCUUUGUCUUGGAAGGAAGAGCACAUUGAAAAUAUAAACCUGGAGAAGGAGAACUUGAGGAAAGAGUCAUGAUGACCAUAAAACAAUCAUAGAAAAUGGAACAAAAUGACAAAUCAUCUGUGGGUUUUUUAAAUAUAUGAAGUCAGUCUUUCUAGGACAUUUAUUUUCAGGGUAAAUUGAUUAGAGGCUGAACAGGAAGAUAAUGAUAAGGAAGAAGCAGAAGUUUUAUGUUGUGGUAAUGAGCUUCCCAGAUGCCAUGAUUUGAGUAGUUUUCCUCCCCUCCACCAUGAUGUUCUGCCUCAACUCAGGCCAAGAAUAAUGGAGUAUGUUGAACAUGGACUGAACCUCUGAAACUGUCACUGCCCUAAUUCUUUGGUACCAACAAAUCUCCUGCUUUAUCUUAGAACUGACUAUACAGAAGUAGGAAGGAGAAGGGAAUGAACUCAUAUUCCUAAAUGCUCACUACUAAUGUACUCUGUUUGAUGCUUUAAUUAUGCCACAUCAUUUACCUUGGAAACACACCUUUGGGACUUGUUUCCAGUCAGCAUAUCAUUGAAGCAGCAUGUGGCAGAACCAUUCACCUCAUGGCAAAGAAGAGAAAGAGAAGAGGAAGAGAUCAAGAUGCCACACUACCCUUCGAGGAUCUCUGGCGACAGUUUCUUUUGUUUGGUAGCAACAACAACUUACUUUGGCUCACUUGAGUGAAAAAGGAAAAAAAAAAGAUUGCAUUGGAAGGCGACUGGAGUGAUUGUAAACUUAAAAGAAGUAGUGAACAAACAUAUUUUUCAGAUAGAACCUUGAGACCUUAGCCAUGGGAGCUCCUGGGGAUUUUGUGUAGGACCGUUCCUAAAGCACCUAAGUGCCAAACGCAUUCUUUGUACCUAUCAACUCAAGAAUCAAUUCCCUAGGAAAAGAAAUCUGAUUGCCCUGAACUGGAAUUUUGCCCUUCUAUCUGUCAUCUCACACCAGAAGAAAAAGGGAAGAGACUGUAUUUAACCAUUGGGAGAGCCACUGGCAUGAGAACCUAU